UUAAGCGACUAAGCGUACACGGUGGAUGCCCUGGCAGUCAGAGGCGAUGAAGGACGUGCUAAUCUGCGAUAAGCGCCGGUAAGGUGAUAUGAACCGUUAUAACCGGCGAUUUCCGAAUGGGGAAACCCAGUGUGACUCGUCACACUAUCAUUAACUGAAUCCAUAGGUUAAUGAGGCGAACCGGGGGAACUGAAACAUCUAAGUACCCCGAGGAAAAGAAAUCAACCGAGAUUCCCCCAGUAGCGGCGAGCGAACGGGGAGGAGCCCAGAGCCUGAAUCAGCAUGUGUGUUAGUGGAAGCGUCUGGAAAGGCGCGCGAUACAGGGUGACAGCCCCGUACACAAAAGCGCAUGUGCUGUGAGCUCGAUGAGUAGGGCGGGACACGUGGUAUCCUGUCUGAAUAUGGGGGGACCAUCCUCCAAGGCUAAAUACUCCUGACUGACCGAUAGUGAACCAGUACCGUGAGGGAAAGGCGAAAAGAACCCCGGCGAGGGGAGUGAAAAAGAACCUGAAACCGUGUACGUACAAGCAGUGGGAGCACCCUUCGGGGUGUGACUGCGUACCUUUUGUAUAAUGGGUCAGCGACUUAUAUUCUGUAGCAAGGUUAACCGAAUAGGGGAGCCGGAGGGAAACCGAGUCUUAAUUGGGCGUUAAGUUGCAGGGUAUAGACCCGAAACCCGGUGAUCUAGCCAUGGGCAGGUUGAAGGUUGGGUAACACUAACUGGAGGACCGAACCGACUAAUGUUGAAAAAUUAGCGGAUGACCUGUGGCUGGGGGUGAAAGGCCAAUCAAACCGGGAGAUAGCUGGUUCUCCCCGAAAGCUAUUUAGGUAGCGCCUCGUGAAUUCAUCUCCGGGGGUAGAGCACUGUUUCGGCUAGGGGGCCAUCCCGGCUUACCAACCCGAUGCAAACUGCGAAUACCGGAGAAUGUUAUCACGGGAGACACACGGCGGGUGCUAACGUCCGUCGUGAAGAGGGAAACAACCCAGACCGCCAGCUAAGGUCCCAAAGUCAUGGUUAAGUGGGAAACGAUGUGGGAAGGCCCAGACAGCCAGGAUGUUGGCUUAGAAGCAGCCAUCAUUUAAAGAAAGCGUAAUAGCUCACUGGUCGAGUCGGCCUGCGCGGAAGAUGUAACGGGGCUAAACCAUGCACCGAAGCUGCGGCAGCGACACUGUGUGUUGUUGGGUAGGGGAGCGUUCUGUAAGCCUGCGAAGGUGGCCUGUGAGGGUUGCUGGAGGUAUCAGAAGUGCGAAUGCUGACAUAAGUAACGAUAAAGCGGGUGAAAAGCCCGCUCGCCGGAAGACCAAGGGUUCCUGUCCAACGUUAAUCGGGGCAGGGUGAGUCGACCCCUAAGGCGAGGCCGAAAGGCGUAGUCGAUGGGAAACGGGUUAAUAUUCCCGUACUUGGUGUUACUGCGAAGGGGGGACGGAGAAGGCUAUGUUGGCCGGGCGACGGUUGUCCCGGUUUAAGCGUGUAGGUGUGUGUUCCAGGUAAAUCCGGUUCACUUUAACACUGAGGCGUGACGACGAGGCACUACGGUGCUGAAGCAACAAAUGCCCUGCUUCCAGGAAAAGCCUCUAAGCAUCAGGUAACAUCAAAUCGUACCCCAAACCGACACAGGUGGUCAGGUAGAGAAUACCAAGGCGCUUGAGAGAACUCGGGUGAAGGAACUAGGCAAAAUGGUGCCGUAACUUCGGGAGAAGGCACGCUGACACGUAGGUGAAGUGAUUUACUCAUGGAGCUGAAGUCAGUCGAAGAUACCAGCUGGCUGCAACUGUUUAUUAAAAACACAGCACUGUGCAAACACGAAAGUGGACGUAUACGGUGUGACGCCUGCCCGGUGCCGGAAGGUUAAUUGAUGGGGUCAGCGCAAGCGAAGCUCCUGAUCGAAGCCCCGGUAAACGGCGGCCGUAACUAUAACGGUCCUAAGGUAGCGAAAUUCCUUGUCGGGUAAGUUCCGACCUGCACGAAUGGCGUAAUGAUGGCCAGGCUGUCUCCACCCGAGACUCAGUGAAAUUGAACUCGCUGUGAAGAUGCAGUGUACCCGCGGCAAGACGGAAAGACCCCGUGAACCUUUACUAUAGCUUGACACUGAACAUUGAGCCUUGAUGUGUAGGAUAGGUGGGAGGCUUUGAAGUGUGGACGCCAGUCUGCAUGGAGCCGACCUUGAAAUACCACCCUUUAAUGUUUGAUGUUCUAACGUGGACCCGUAAUCCGGGUUGCGGACAGUGUCUGGUGGGUAGUUUGACUGGGGCGGUCUCCUCCUAAAGAGUAACGGAGGAGCACGAAGGUUGGCUAAUCCUGGUCGGACAUCAGGAGGUUAGUGCAAUGGCAUAAGCCAGCUUGACUGCGAGCGUGACGGCGCGAGCAGGUGCGAAAGCAGGUCAUAGUGAUCCGGUGGUUCUGAAUGGAAGGGCCAUCGCUCAACGGAUAAAAGGUACUCCGGGGAUAACAGGCUGAUACCGCCCAAGAGUUCAUAUCGACGGCGGUGUUUGGCACCUCGAUGUCGGCUCAUCACAUCCUGGGGCUGAAGUAGGUCCCAAGGGUAUGGCUGUUCGCCAUUUAAAGUGGUACGCGAGCUGGGUUUAGAACGUCGUGAGACAGUUCGGUCCCUAUCUGCCGUGGGCGCUGGAGAACUGAGGGGGGCUGCUCCUAGUACGAGAGGACCGGAGUGGACGCAUCACUGGUGUUCGGGUUGUCAUGCCAAUGGCACUGCCCGGUAGCUAAAUGCGGAAGAGAUAAGUGCUGAAAGCAUCUAAGCACGAAACUUGCCCCGAGAUGAGUUCUCCCUGAGACUUAAAGUCUCCUGAAGGAACGUUGAAGACGACGACGUUGAUAGGCCGGGUGUGUAAGCGCAGCGAUGCGUUGAGCUAACCGGUACUAAUGAACCGUGAGGCUUAACCUU
rnacentral:rRNA from 1 species